rnacentral:rRNA from 1 species
GAUGAACGCUAGCGGCAGGCCUAACACAUGCAAGUCGAGGGAGGAGCCUUUCGGGGCAGAAACCGGCGCACGGGUGCGUAACGCGUAUGCAACCUACCUUUUACAGGGGGAUAGCCCGAAGAAAUUUGGAUUAAUACCCCAUAAUAUUAUUGUACGGCAUCGUUUGAUAAUUAAAGCUGAGGCGGUAGAAGAUGGGCAUGCGUCCUAUUAGCUAGUUGGAGUGGUAACGGCACCCCAAGGCUACGAUAGGUAGGGGUCCUGAGAGGGAGAUCCCCCACACUGGUACUGAGACAGGGACCAGACUCCUACGGGAGGCAGCAGUGAGGAAUAUUGGUCAAUGGUCGGAAGACUGAACCAGCCAUGCCGCGUGCAGGAAGAAUGCCUUAUGGGUUGUAAACUGCUUUUAUAUAGGGAGAAUAAGGAGUACGUGUACUCUGAUGGCGGUACUAUAUGAAUAAGCAUCGGCUAACUCCGUGCCAGCAGCCGCGGUAAUACGGAGGAUGCGAGCGUUAUUCGGAAUCAUUGGGUUUAAAGGGUCUGUAGGCGGGCUAUUAAGUCAGGGGUGAAAUCUUACAGCUUAACUGUGAAAUUGCCUUUGAUACUGGUAGUCUUGAAUAUUUGUGAAGUUUUUGGAAUGUGUAGUGUAGCGGUGAAAUGCUUAGAUAUUACACAGAACACCGAUUGCGAAGGCAGGAGACUAACAAAUGAUUGACGCUGAGAGACGAGAGCGUGGGGAGCGAACAGG